GGGGUUGACAUUGGUUUCGACAGGUCUAGCCUGAUUUAAAUUGCAGUGGAGUGAUGACCUAAUCAUCAAACUAAAUUAAACGCAAACAGACAAGUUGCAUUUGCCUAGUAUAACCUAAAGACUGGUUUGGCAGCUUCUAACUGUAAAGAUCAUAGCAGUUAGUCGUAAACAUGAUCUAGGUGAAGUGAGUUCCGCUUUAUCUCACCAUCCGAAAACCGAAUAAGCAAAUUCAAUGUUGAGGUAGUUUAAGCCAUAACAUUGUCUUAACAAAGUUAAACUAAACUGUAGACAUUUAAAUGUGAGACUAUUCUUGGACGAGAGUUCGAAUCUCUCCAGCUCCACCA
rnacentral:tmRNA from 1 species